rnacentral:rRNA from 1 species
CUGGAGGCAGCAGUGGGGAAUUUUGCGCAAUGGGCGAAAGCCUGACGCAGCAACGCCGCGUGGAGGAUGAAGGCCUUCGGGUCGUAAACUCCUGUCGAUGGGGACGAAAGCCUAGCAAUAGGAUUGACUGUACCCGUUGAGGAAGCCACGGCUAACUCCGUGCCAGCAGCCGCGGUAAUACGGGGGUGGCAAGCGUUGUUCGGAAUUACUGGGCGUAAAGGGCGCGUAGGCGGCGAUCCAAGUCAGAUGUGAAAGCCCCGGGCUCAACUCGGGAAUUGCAUCUGAAACUGAAUUGCUUGAGUUCUGGAGGGGGUAGUGGAAUUCCCAGUGUAGCGGUGAAAUGCGUAGAUAUUGGGAGGAACACCUGCGGCGAAGGCGGCUACCUGGACAGUAACUGACGCUGAGGCGCGAAAGCUAGGGGAGCGAACAGGAUUAGAUACCCCGGU